rnacentral:rRNA from 1 species
GACGAACGCUGGCGGCGUGCCUAACACAUGCAAGUCGAACGAGGUCCAUGCAGUGGCAACACUGCGGAAGACCUAGUGGCGAACGGGUGAGUAACACGUGAGGAACCUGCCCCGAAGACUGGGAUAACCCUCCGAAAGGAGAGCUAAUACCGGAUACCCCCACCGGAUCGCAUGAUCUGGUGAGGAAAUGGAUUCCGCUUCGGGAGGGCCUCGCGGCCUAUCAGCUAGUUGGUGGGGUAACGGCCCACCAAGGCAUCGACGGGUAGCUGGUCUGAGAGGACGAUCAGCCACACUGGGACUGAGACACGGCCCAGACUCCUACGGGAGGCAGAAGUGGGGAAUCUUGCGCAAUGGGCGAAAGCCUGACGCAGCAACGCCGCGUGGGGGAUGAAGGCUCUCGGGUUGUAAACCCCUUUCAGCAGGGACGAAUCAAGACGGUACCUGCAGAAGAAGCCCCGGCUAACUACGUGCCAGCCGCCGCAGUAACAC